rnacentral:sRNA from 1 species
GUAGCACCAUUAUUAUUCUUUAUUCACGCAGUACUUGAUGGUUUAUCAUUCUUAACAUUGUA